GGCUAGCGUGGCAGAGUGGUCUAAUGCGCUGGAUUUAGAUUCCAGUUUCUGCGGAGGCGUGGGUUCAAAUCCCACCACUGCCA